UGAGAGAAUCGAGGAAUGGAUACGAUGUUAAAGAGGAAGAGUAGUAGUUGUUGUGAUGAAUGAAUGAGGAGAAGAUGAGUGGUUAUGUGUAUCUGAAAGCACCUUCACCUCUCUGGCGACCUCAUCUUCAUCUUCCCAUUCCAACGCUUCGCAACACUCUCCUCGGCGCUGCACUCUCAGGUGCCAUUCUCUUCUCUUUCCCAGUCCCCUCUGUCUCUGCUCUCCAACAACCGCCAACUCUUCAUUCCCAAACAUGUCACGACGUCGACACCAUGCUUCCCGAGGUUGUCACCAACGAUGACCUUGUCGAGGAAGCAUGGCAGAUUGUCAACGAUACUUUUCUCGACACCGGUCGCCACCGCUGGUCUCAGGACACGUGGCAGCUCAAGAAACAAGCUUUUUUCAGCAAUUCCAUUAACACAAGAUCAAAGGCACACCAUGUCAUCAAACGAAUGCUCGCAAGUUUGGCCGAUCCUUAUACGCGUUUUCUUUCACCUGAGGAGUUCUCGAAGAUGGCGAGGUAUGACAUGACUGGUAUUGGACUAAACCUGAGGGAAGUUCCAGAUGAAAAUGGAGACCUUAGACUGAAGGUCCUGGGAAUCAUAUUGGAUGGUCCAGCUCAUUCUGCUGGUGUAAGACAGGGGGAUGAAAUAUUGGCUGUGAAUAACAUGGAGGUAAAAGGAAAAUCAGCAUUUCAAGUAUCUUCCCUGUUGCAAGGCCCUAAUGGAACAUCUGUGACUAUUCAGGUCAAGCAUGGCAACUGUGGACCUGUUGAAUUAAUACAAGUUCAACGGCAACUUAUUGCUCGUACGCCAGUCUUCUAUCGGCUGGAACAACCUGACAGUGGUGUUACACCUGUUGGGUACAUACGCCUCAAAGAGUUCAAUGCAUUGGCCAGAAAAGACUUGGUUAUUGCAAUGAAGCGACUUCAAGACAUGGGAGCCUCAUAUUUCAUAUUGGAUCUCAGGGACAAUCUUGGUGGGCUAGUACAGGCUGGAAUUGAAAUUGCAAAGCUUUUUCUACAUGAAGGAGACACGGUGAUCUACACUGUUGGGAGAGAUCCUCAGUUCCAGAAGGCUAUUGUUACUGAUACUUCCCCAUUGAUUCAAGCUCCUGUUGUUGUAAAAAUUUUCCUAUGUCUGAAAAUUUUUAUCAUUGAAUUAACUCUAGGAAUUAUUUCUACUUCUCAAAUUCAUUUUUGGUUGAUCAUCAGGGCAGGAAUUGUCCAAAGAUGUUUCGUUGUCUGAGAUUUGAAUGAAAUUAUUUAUUGUUCGACUGGCAAAUGGUGAUUGUAGAUGCCCUUUUCAUAAACUUUGGUAAUGUGGACAUUAGAAAUAGCACAUGACACCUUCCAAGAUUCAAAGAUAAAGAUUAUGUUGAGGUGGAUUACUGACUUGCAAGAAAUUAUAAGAUUAAGAACCAGUAUGGAUUUGGGAUUAGGUUGGAGUGCCCAUUAAGGAGAUGAUAGAAACUUGUCCAAGAUAGUUGGGUAAUGUGAGGACUGGGGAGAAAUAACAUAUGACUCUUCGCAAAAAGUGGAUCUAAUGGAAGAUAGGCUGAUAAUAAAGGAUAGACGAAGACUGGAAGAAUUUAAGAAAGCAUUCAAAAAGAUCUUAUAAAUGAAUUUAUUGAAAAUUUUGUUUUUUAUUGGUUCCAAUACUUCAAUAGCAUUAUUUGGUUGGAUCUAGUUUUCUGGAUAUUUUCAUUCCCCCUUGUACUUGACUACCCAAAAUUUUGAAUUAAGAUGAGAUAUUUUAUAUGUUUGAUCAUUUAGGUAGCUGAUCCUUGGUGUGUGAUUGAGUGUUUUGAGCGAGGUCACACAAGCAAACUUUAAAAUAUUCUCCUUUUGAAUGGCCUAUAUAUGUCACUGAUCAGUAGAAUUUUCAUUUUGUGGACUGCAUGACAAGGCUUAUGAUUCUUUUUGGUUUGAACCCAUGCAGAUUUUAGUAAAUGACAAAACUGCCAGUGCAAGCGAAAUAGUUGCUUCUGCACUUCAUGAUAAUUGUAGAGCUGUUCUUGUUGGAAAACGCACAUAUGGCAAGCUUUAACAGGCUCUUCAUGACUCCUCCAUACUUGUAACAGGGUCUAAUCCAAUCUGUAUUUGAGCUUCACGAUGGAUCUGGCAUAGUUAUCACUGUUGGGAAGUAUGUAACACCAAAUCACAAGGACAUAAACGGC